GACGAACGCUGGCGGCGUGCUUAACACAUGCAAGUCGAACGGUAAGGCCCCUCGGGGUACACGAGUGGCGAACGGGUGAGUAACACGUGGGUGAUCUGCCCUGCACUUCGGGAUAAGCCUGGGAAACUGGGUCUAAUACCGGAUAGGACCACUGCCUGCAUGGGUGGUGGUGAAAAGCUUUUGCGGUGUGGGAUGGGCCCGCGGCCUAUCAGCUUGUUGGUGGGGUGAUGCCUACCAAGGCGACGACGGGUAGCCGGCCUGAGAGGGUGACCGGCCACACUGGGACUGAGAUACGGCCCAGACUCCUACGGGAGGCAGCAGUGGGGAAUAUUGCACAAUGGGCGCAAGCCUGAUGCAGCGACGCCGCGUGAGGGAUGACGGCCUUCGGGUUGUAAACCUCUUUCAGCACCGACGAAGCGCAAGUGACGGUAGGUGCAGAAGAAGGACCGGCCAACUACGUGCCAGCCGCCGCGGUAA
rnacentral:rRNA from 1 species